rnacentral:rRNA from 1 species
UACGUAGGGUGCGAGCGUUGUCCGGAAUUAUUGGGCGUAAAGAGCUCGUAGGCGGUGUGUCACGUCGGCCGUGAAAACCUGCAGCUUAACUGUGGGCGUGCGGUCGAUACGGGCAUCACUGGAGUUCGGCAGGGGAGACUGGAAUUCCUGGUGUAGCGGUGAAAUGCGCAGAUAUCAGGAGGAACACCGGUGGCGAAGGCGGGUCUCUGGGCCGAUACUGACGUGAGGAGCGAAAGCGUGGGGAGCAAACAGG